rnacentral:lncRNA from 10 species
GGAGAGUCAUUUCUGAAUGCUAAUGCUGCAAACUGAGAUAUUAAAGGCUGUGUUUAGUCAUGAAAAAGGAAGGCAACUUUGAAGACUGACCCUUACAACCUUGAGACGAUUUUCUAAAAGAAGAUACUUUACCUGAAAUCACAAUACAUACCACAGCUAAGGAUGUUUAAGGCAGAAGACCAAAUGUUAGGGGACUGAAGUGUGACCUAUUGUGAUCGACUUGGGUAUGCUUGGAUCUGUCUUUUGGUCACUUGAAGAUUC